rnacentral:rRNA from 1 species
CCCGGGAUAGCCCAGGGAAACCUGGAUUAAUACCGGAUGACGACGGGACCCGCGAAGGCGGGACCCGGGAAAGGCGCUGCGGCGCCGCCGGGGGAUGAGUCUGCGUCCCAUUAGCUAGACGGCGGGGUAACGGCCCACCGUGGCGACGAUGGGUAGCCGGCCUGAGAGGGUGGACGGCCACAUUGGAACUGAGACACGGUCCAGACUCCUACGGGAGGCAGCAGCUAAGAAUCUUCCGCAAUGGGCGAAAGCCUGACGGAGCCGACGCCGCGUGAACGAAGAAGGCCGUGAGGUUGUAAAGUUCUUUUCGGGAGGGGAACAACCGUGGCAGGGAAUGGCCGCGGGAUGACGUGAAUCCCGGAAUAAGCCCCGGCUAACUACGUGCCAGCAGCCGC